AUUGAACGCUGGCGGCAGGCCUAACACAUGCAAGUCGAACGAGUGGCGGACGGGUGAGUAAUGUCUGGGAAACUGCCUGAUGGAGGGGGAUAACUACUGGAAACGGUAGCUAAUACCGCAUACCAUCGGAUGUGCCCAGAUGGGAUUAGCUAGUUGGUGGGGUAAAGGCUCACCAAGGCGACGAUCCCUAGCUGGUCUGAGAGGAUGACCAGCCACACUGGAACUGAGACACGGUCCAGACUCCUACGGGAGGCAGCAGUGGGGAAUAGUGCGCAAUGGGCGGAAGCCUGAUGCAGCCAUGCCGCGUGUAGGAAGAAGGUCUUCGGGUUGUAAAGUUCUUUCAGCGUGGAGGCGUUACCCACAGAAGAAGCACCGGCUAACUCCGUGCCAGCAGCCGCGGUAAUUC
rnacentral:rRNA from 1 species